rnacentral:siRNA from 1 species
GGGAUACCGACUUGAGUGAUUAAA